CUGAGGCUGCAAAGGCAGGUCCAUAUACACCCCUCAAUCCACAGCAGAUCUCCCAUCAAUAAUACAAGAAAUCAGGAGAAUGAUGAGGAGCAGCUGGCCCAAUGCUGGGAAUGGCCUUAAUGUGGGAUGCAGAUUUUGGGGACAAGGGAGAGGAGGAGAAGGAGGAGAUUGAAAGCGCACAGCAAGCAAGUGGAGAGACUGUUUUCCCUGACAGCCAGGAACUGUUUAUUACCCUGGAGCCAGUACCCUCCCAACCCACCCACGGCGGGCUCCCAGACCUUGAAGGCAGAGAAGAGACCUCUGGAGAGCAGAGUGGCAGUGGAAGCGGUCAUUCGAUGAUGAUGGUUUGCAGCCCUACUGCACUGUCUGCUGCCAGCAGUAUCCAGGACACAACAGCUGAGCGGGCUGCACACUUGCCAUGGUAUGGCAUCUUCAUGGGGAAAAAGGUGUGAAACGAUUGUCCUCCUUAAACAGUUCCACACAAGGACUGAUGAAAGGCCACUGUGAACAUGAAAGACAAGAAGUAUAAGGUAAAAUAAAGUGAGGAGAAAACACAAACUCCAUAACAGAAUGGAUGGAGCUACAGGUAUAAAUGAGAACAUGCUGAAAUAUACCUUGACUAGA